GGCGUGCUUAACACAUGCAAGUCGAACGAUGAACCAGGGCUUGCCCUGGGGAUUAGUGGCGAACGGGUGAGUAACACGUGGGCAACCUGCCCCUGACUCUGGGAUAACUCCGGGAAACCGGGGCUAAUACCGGAUACGAACCUCGACGGCAUCGUCGAGGUUGGACAGUUUUUCGGUCAGGGAUGGGCCCGCGGCCUAUCAGCUUGUUGGUGGGGUAAUGGCCUACCAAGGCGACGACGGGUAGCCGGCCUGAGAGGGCGACCGGCCACACUGGGACUGAGACACGGCCCAGACUCCUACGGGAGGCAGCAGUGGGGAAUAUUGCGCAAUGGGCGAAAGCCUGACGCAGCGACGCCGCGUGAGGGACGACGGCCUUCGGGUUGUAAACCUCUUUCAGCAGGGACGAAGCGAAAGUGACGGUACCUGCAGAAGAAGCACCGGCCAACUACGUGCCAGCCGCCGCGGUAAAAC
rnacentral:rRNA from 1 species